AGGCAUUGCCUUAGUAACGGCGAGUGAAGCGGCAAAAGCUCAAAUUUGAAAUCUGGCGCCUUCGGUGUCCGAGUUGUAAUUUGAAGAAGGUAACUUUGGAGUUGGCUCUUGUCUAUGUUCCUUGGAACAGGACGUCACAGAGGGUGAGAAUCCCGUGCGAUGAGAUGCCCAAUUCUAUGUAAAGUGCUUUCGAAGAGUCGAGUUGUUUGGGAAUGCAGCUCUAAGUGGGUGGUAAAUUCCAUCUAAAGCUAAAUAUUGGCGAGAGACCGAUAGCGAACAAGUACAGUGAUGGAAAGAUGAAAAGAACUUUGAAAAGAGAGUGAAAAAGUACGUGAAAUUGUUGAAAGGGAAGGGCUUGAGAUCAGACUUGGUAUUUUGCGAUCCUUUCCUUCUUGGUUGGGUUCUCCGCAGCUUACUGGGCCAGCAUCGGUUUGGAUGGUAGGAUAAUGAUUAAGGAAUGUGGCUCUACUUCGGUGGAGUGUUAUAGCCUUGGUUGAUACUGCCUGUCUAGACCGAGGACUGCGUCUUUGACUAGGAUGCUGGCAUAAUGAUCUUAAGCCACCCGUCUUGAA
rnacentral:rRNA from 1 species